CGCAAUUUUAUAAAAUAUUAAAAAAAAAAUCCGAUUUUCGCAAAAUUUCUUUGUCUGCUAAAGAGCUUUUGGGAAAUGGUAUGGAUCAUUCAUUUCUUGUAAAAAAAAUUGUAUUUUAAAAUUCGAAGUGGUGAAAAAGUGUGCAAUGGGGAACUUGUAGCCAUAAAUUUGAAAAAAUUUGUUUAAUUUUCAGCCUGACAGGUAGGAUGAAAGCACAGAAAAUAGAAUUCAAUAUGGACAAAUGCCAAGCACUUCACACAGCAUUUGCUGCCAAAAAAAAAACCAAAUGUAUGUGUUUCAUUCUAUUGCAAUUUUUCAAAAAUUCUGUCAUUAAUCACCAGCCACAAAUGCCAGCGACACAUGUGUACAAGGAUUUAAGGAGAAAUGCUACUGCCAAAGUGAAAAUAAAGCAACUGAAAGCCAACAUAUUCAUACACACCCAUAGCAAGGAAUGUCUCACUAAUUAGUCGAUUAGACUUUGCAUUGUUGGACAACAAAACUCUAUUCACAUAUACACAUGUGUGCGUAUGAAAAACGAAGAGACAUUUGCAAAUAUUUGCACUGUAAACAUGCCAACGUUCUCACAUUCUACUUACUAUACGCCACAGUACUCAAU